rnacentral:rRNA from 1 species
AUACGGAGGAUUCGAGCGUUAUCCGGAAUUAUUGGGUUUAAAGGGUGCGCAGGCGGACCGUUAAGUCAGCGGUGAAAAUCUGGUGCUUAACAUCAGGAGUGCCGUUGAUACUGGCGGACUAGAGUAUGAUUGACGUAAGUGGAAUGUAGCAUGUAGCGGUGAAAUGCAUAGAGAUGCUACAGAACACCGAUAGCGAAGGCAGCUUACGAAGUCACAACUGACGCUCAGGCACGAAAGCGUGGGGAGCGAACAGGAUUAGAUACCCUGGUAGUCCACGCAGUAAACGAUGAUAACUGGCUUUUGGCGAUAGACGGUCAGAGGCUGAGAGAAAUCAAUAAGUUAUCCACCUGGGGAGUACGAUGGCAACAUUGAAACUCAAAGGAAUUGACGGG